GUGAGGAAUAUUGGACAAUGGGCGCAAGCCUGAUCCAGCCAUGCCGCGUGCAGGAAGACGCAUCUAUGGUGUGUAAACUGCUUUUGUACGGGAAGAAACACUCCCUCGUGAGGGAGCUUGACGGUACCGUAAGAAUAAGGAUCGGCUAACUCCGUGCCAGCAGCCGCGGUAAUACGGAGGAUCCAAGCGUUAUCCGGAAUCAUUGGGUUUAAAGGGUCCGUAGGCGGUUUAAUAAGUCAGUGGUGAAAGCCCAUCGCUCAACGAUGGAACGGCCAUUUAUACUGUUAGACUUGAAUUACAAGGAAGUAACUAGAAUAUGUAGUGUAGCGGUGAAAUGCUUAGAUAUUACAUGGAAUACCAAUUGCGAAGGCAGGUUACUACUUGUGGAUUGACGCUGAUGGACGAAAGCGUGGGGAGCGAACAGGAUUAGAUACCCCUGUAGUCC
rnacentral:rRNA from 1 species